CCCCAUGUUCUGCCUUGAGGUAACAAAUUAACAAAUAAAUGAAUAAAUAAGGUAAUACACUUGGCUGUCCUCAGAGGUUUCCUCUUGUAGCCUACUUUGUUCACUGAAAGUGGGGGGAUGGGUUACUGUUUGAUGCUCAAAAUCCCCAGACUAAUUUGAAGUGCAGAGACCCCAAACACCAGGACAGCGUCUGUACACCAGAGUACAGAACUCUCUCAGAGCUGCUCCGAGAGAUCUACUUCGAGAUCUGCUCUGAAACUUUUGCAACGUUAUUGGACAUUUUGUUACAUCUAUUAUUUUGUUGAUGAGUGCUCCAAUUUAGAAAAUGGAGAAAACAGGAGGGGGAAAGGAAAGCCUUCAUGUGUGGUGGCUAGCUAGCUACUCUGCAGCAGCAGCUACAGGUUCUGUUUGUGAUGUUAGGCUAACUUUAUCUACUCUAUAACCGUCCAGGUGGAGCUGCUGGAGAAGGGACAUCUGGUCUCUGUUCCACACCUCUCCCCUCUACGGAGCUUGUAUGUUCAGCCCAUUAUUUGUGGUCUCUGUGUCAUUAAUAAUAAACUGCUAUUUCGUCUUUAGUAUUAUUGAUAUUCUUAUUGUUAAAUGUUAGUUUCACCUUGUUACUAAUUAAUUGUAGGUCUUAGUCAAAUUUUAUAAAGUGUAUUUGUACAGUGCUACCUAAUAUGCAGUAGAAUGACUAAGGACCUAAUGCAGUGGUGUAACAGUAACUGAACUGUAUGUUUGAACACAGCCUGCAGGUCUAGAGACAUCCAUCCCUCCAGCUCCCUCCAGUGAAACACAGCCUGCAGGUCUAGAGACAUCCAUCCCUCCAGCUCCCUCCAGUGAAACACAGCCUGCAGGUCUAGAGACAUCCAUCCCUCCAGCUCCCUCCAGUGAAACACAGCCUGCAGGUCUAGAGACAUCCAUCCCUCCAGCUCCCUCCAGUGAAACACAGCCUGCUGAAGAAACUACACCACUAAUGUCCAGUGAAUCUCCUGCACCCACCGGGGACCAACAAGAACACACUUCAAGAACAACUACCCCUGAUGUAACUAUGGAUGGUCAUGAUGAUGACCAGAGUCUGGAUGCCCUCGCCUACCGGUCUGGUACUGGACAGCUAGACAUUGAGAUGGGUCCAGUCCAAACACUGCCCAAAGAUCGUAACAGGAUUCUUUAAUAUCGCUGUUCGACCCAAGUUUCCCAUCGACCGUGAUUCACUAUUGAAGGGGAAUGACAUUACAGGAUACAAAGUAAUGCAGUUCGAGAAAUUUUGGAUCAACAUGAAAGUGAAUCUGAUGGUUCAAACUCAGAAACUAGGGGAGGAAAUACACCAGUCUGAUUCCUUCCUGAUGCCAGCUUUCACAGGAGAAGAGGCGUGGUGUGUUUAACAUCAUUAUUUGAUCAAUCCUCACAUUAUUCUUCUAUAUGUGGCUCACAGAGCAAAGAGAAGCGAGGUGUUAAUAAAUAGUGUGAGGUGUGCUCUGUGAGGCGUCCUGGGGUAUGAUGGGUAACCUUGGCUUGGGUCCAAGCUCCACCUCUCUUGGGCGACCACCAAGGAAGACGAUAUUUUCUUUAUGAUAUAUUUUUUUGCAACGUUACUAACGUUCCUCAAUAUUUUGCAAACGAUGACACGUACAUAUUUCACCCAUGCAAGUAUCUUUUCUUGUUGUUUUUCUGCUAAACUUUUAGUAACCACUAAUCACUUUUUUGAAGGCUUUUGACCGUAAUCAUUUAGGGAAUAAAAUUUAAAAUAACAGAUGCAAAACCUUUAAUGAAAAUAUUUGCCAAUUUACUGCACUGUAUUUCAAUGAUGAUUUCUUAUUUACAUUUAAUUUUUUUUUUUUUUUUUUAAGUAAUUCCUGUACUUCUUUUUUACUACUUGCCUUGAGUUGUUCAGGAAGCAUUUGGGGUGCUGGGAUUAGCAUUACAUGGCCUUCUUUCAUGUGUCAGUCAAACAUUGUUAGUUACAUACUAUUGUUUGUGAUGAAGUGGAGUUAGAGAGGGCUGGUUGUUGGGGUAUGCUUUUAUGAGAGCACACUAAUAAAGGGUUGAACAUUGCGUCUUAGUUUGUGGUCUGUUUGUGACAAGGGACCGGGAGACUCCACCUCAUAAAGUCCGGUCUCACAGGAAGAUUGCAAAAACACAAAAAGGGCACAAGGACGCUGUAGACUGAGACAGGGAAACAAUCCAAACAAAGGAAGAAAAGACAGGUCACCUUCUGAAGAGAAGUCAGGGAGCAGGCAGAGGACAGAAACCCAGGCAAAGGCCAAAAACAGGCAGGAACCAGACAGGCAGGAACCAGGCAGGCUGGAACCAGGCCGGCAGGAGCCAGGCAGGCAGACUACGGGGCCUUUUGACCUGACUAGGUAAGCCAAGACCAAACGUAAGAUCAAUCUAACAAGGUGGCACUGACAGCCCAGGAUAUACAUAGGCUGAGUAGUUAACACACAAUGAGGAACAGGUGAGAAGGAAACAGGGCGGGAAACUAACACCGGCA
ensembl:lncRNA